CGUUCUCUAUGUAGGCGCUGGGUCGAUUGGAUUGCUGUGAACGCUCCAAGUUUUUCUGUGAUCUUCUGGACAAGGAGGCUAUCAAGACCUGGGGCUGUGGAAGCAGUCUUGUGUAGUUUAAAACAAGAUCGUUGGGGAGACUGUCAUUCCAGCACCUGAUUAUCGCAUUCCAAUCGUUCUUCUGGGUCUUUGUGGAAAAAAAUGAGAAGCAAGGAGUGUUCUUUCUUUCAGGUACCGCUGUUUACACGAACAAUUUGCUUCCAGCAGCUCCAAUUGGUUUGCUCGGCCUUCUUCUCUUAUUCCAAACCACCCGAGUAAGAUUCGCGUUCGAUGACGAAGCUUCUGUGGUGUUUGUUCCCUUUGUGUCGCUGGAGCUGGAUUUAAAAUUACUUGAGCUUUCGAGGAAGUAAAGAUUGCCUCGGAGCUAUAGGAAUCCAGAGAGAACGUCUUCGUUGGUGGAAAAAAUAAGCAUCAAGACGAAAGUCACGGGUCUCUUCACUGUGUUUUUCUAAUUCCAGGUACUCAGCCUUUACAAACUGGGAGCUAUGGUGGCCGAGCUUUCCAAUCCUCGUCUACUUCAAGGACACACAAGGGCCAAGCUUAUUUUUUCCAAGUGAUCUUUGAUGCUCUACGAGGAAGUUGUUAGCCCAACUAAACUGUUCUCCAAAUUAGGUGACAAAUUAUAAAUUUAAUGUAACACAC